rnacentral:snoRNA from 1 species
AAGACUGUACUUUCAGGGAUCAUUUCUAUAGUUUGUUACUAGAGAAGUUUCUCUGAUCAUGUAGAGCACCGAAAAAGUAGCCCAGUGAUCUAUAUGUUUGGG